rnacentral:rRNA from 1 species
UACGUAGGGUGCAAGCGUUGUCCGGAAUUAUUGGGCGUAAAGAGCUCGUAGGUGGCGGGUCACGUCGGGUGUGAAAGCCCGGGGCUUAACCCCGGGUCUGCAUUCGAUACGGGCUAGCUAGAGUGUGGUAGGGGAGAUCGGAAUUCCUGGUGUAGCGGUGAAAUGCGCAGAUAUCAGGAGGAACACCGGUGGCGAAGGCGGAUCUCUGGGCCAUUACUGACGCUGAGGAGCGAAAGCGUGGGGAGCGAACAGG